GCAGCGAGAAAAGUAGCAAUAUGGCCAUAUGACACUAAAAAAAGCUAAGCAUCCUAAACAAUGAACCAAAAACUAGCACAUAAUACUAGAAAAGUAGUAUAACAGAUCAAAUAAUUCUAGGCAUGGGUGGAAACAGAACCUUUAGCACUCAGAGUUUCAUAAAAGGGGUGAAAGAUAAAAAUGCUUAUUUCAAGUAAUAGAUAUAACAAUAGUAACAACACACACGCAAG
rnacentral:lncRNA from 1 species